rnacentral:rRNA from 1 species
UCUAUACUAUAGAGUUUGAUCCUGGCUCAGAUUGAACGCUGGCGGCAUGCCUUACACAUGCAAGUCGAACGGUAACAGGUUAAGCUGACGAGUGGCGAACGGGUGAGUAAUAUAUCGGAACGUGCCCAGUAGUGGGGAUGAGCCCGGCGAAAGCCGGAUUAAUACCGCAUACGACCUACGGGUGAAAGCGGGGAGUCGCAAGACCUCGCGCUAUUGGAGCGGCCGAUAUCAGAUUAGCUAGUUGGUGGGGUAAAAGCCCACCAAGGCGACGAUCUGUAGCUGGUCUGAGAGGACGACCAGCCACACUGGGACUGAGACACGGCCCAGACUCCUACGGGAGGCAGCAGUGGGGAAUUUUGGACA